rnacentral:rRNA from 1 species
UGAGAAAAUUAGAGUGUUCAAAGCAGGCAUUUGCUUGAAUAUAUUAGCAUGGAAUAAUCAUGUAUGAUUUUCAUGAUGUAUUUGAUUGGUUUGGUUCAUGAGAAUAAGAUUAAUAGGGACAGUUGUGGGUAUUCAUAUUCAAUAGUCAGAGGUGAAAUUCUCGGAUUUAUGGAAGAUGAACAAGUGCGAAAGCAUUUACCAAGGAUGUUUUCAUUAAUCAAGAACGAAAGUUAGGGGAUCGAAGAGGAUUAGAUACCCUCGUAGUCUUAA